UACGGCGAGUGAAGCGGCAACAGCUCAAAUUUGAAAUCUGGCUCUUUCAGGGUCCGAGUUGUAAUUUGUAGAAGAUGCUUCGGGUGUGGCUCCGGUCUAAGUUCCUUGGAACAGGACGUCAUAGAGGGUGAGAAUCCCGUAUGUGACUGGCUGCCUCCCCCAUGUGAAGCUCUUUCGACGAGUCGAGUUGUUUGGGAAUGCAGCUCAAAAUGGGUGGUAAAUUUCAUCUAAAGCUAAAUAUUGGCCAGAGACCGAUAGCGCACAAGUAGAGUGAUCGAAAGAUGAAAAGCACUUUGGAAAGAGAGUUAAACAGUACGUGAAAUUGUUGAAAGGGAAGCGCUUGCAAUCAGACUUGCGCGCGGUCGAUCAUCCGAUGUUCUCACCGGUGCACUCGACCGUGCUCAGGCCAGCAUCGGUUUCGGUGGUUGGAUAAAGGCCUUGGGAAUGUGGCUCUCUUCGGGGAGUGUUAUAGCCCUCGGUGCAAUGCAGCCUACCGGGACCGAGGACCGCGCUUCGGCUAGGAUGCUGGCGUAAUGGUUGUAAGCGACCCGU
rnacentral:rRNA from 1 species